CCUGGUUGUACCUGCCAGUAGUCAUAUGCUUGUCUCAAAUAUUAGCUAUGCAAGAACAGUCUCAGAACAGUCUUAAAUACAGUAAAACCGCGAAUAGCUCGUUUGAUGAAAUAUCGUUUUUUUUUAGAAUAUGGAUUUUUCGUAACUAAAUUGAUAUGGAUAAUUCUGGUAUUUCUAAAGCUAAUAAAUGCAAACGAAAUUCCUCUCUGACAUGCGAGGAAUACUAUCAUUAGAUCAAAGUCAAUCGUUGACGGCUCGCUGUCCAUCCAUCGAUUGUUUAUGUGACUCCGAAUAACUUCAUGCAGAUUCAUGGUCAUCUAGCAGCGGCGAAGCAUCUUCCAAACGUCUGUCUUAUUAAAUAUUGAUGGUAGGUUCUGCACCUACAACCGUUGUAACGGGUAACGGGGAAUCACAAUUAGAUUCUAGAGUGGAAGCCCGAGAAUCAGCUACCACAUCCAAGGAAAACAGUAUGCGCGCAAUGUACUCAUUCCAGGCACGGGGAUAUAUUAACGAAAAAUAACGGUACAAGACGCAUUCGAGGCCCCGUAUGGAUCGGAAUGAGUACACUUUGAAUCAUUUAAGGAGGAUCAAUUAGAGGGCAAGUCUGGUGCAAGCAGCCGCGGUAAUUCCAAUAUUUUAUUUUUAAUAGCUAAAAUUGUCAAUUCACCGCUCGCGGCGUUUAACUGCCAUUAUGUGCUACGUCACAUUGUUGGGCUCAGCUCCUUGCAGGUGGUCCAAAUAAUCUCCAAUCGCGGUGCACUUCACUGUGUGUCGAGGUGGGACCAUAACUUCAUUUUGAACAAUUUAGGAACUCCAUUUCACUGUGUUGGGUUUCGGAACCGUAAGGUAAUGAUUAAUAGAAACAGAAGGGGGAAUUCACAUGGCGUCUUUAGAAGUGAAAUUCUUAGUCCGUAAACGAUGCCAGCCAGCGAUCUGCCGAAGGUCUUCAGAUGACACGACGGCAGCUUGCAGGAAGCCAAAGCCUUUGAGUUCCGAGGGAAUUAUGAUUGCAGAAUUAAAACGUGAAGGAAUUAACGGAAGGGUAACACCAGGUGUGGAACUUGUUGCUUAUUUUUACUCAACACGGGAAACCUCACCUGGCUAGGACACCGGAGAUUUUGACAGAUCGAUAGCUCCUUCUUGAUUCAGUGUGUGGUGGUGCAUGGCAUGUGUCAGUUGUUGAAACGAUUUCUCUCCGUUGAAACGGUUUCCGAUAAGGAACGAGACUCUAGCCUGCUAAAUAGACAUAAUUUAUGGUUUUCUGAAGGCCACCAUGUGCGGUCAGUGUGUCCUUAUUACUACUGCACAAAAGAACCUUCUUAGUGUAACAGGCGGCUUCUAGCAGGAUAGGCAGAUAGAGAGAUAAAAGGUCUGUGAUAUACUUAGGUAUCCUGGACCGUACGCGCGCUACCCUGAAGCAAUGAGCGUGUGCAAUGGCCGAAAGACCCGGAUAUCAUGCUGAACCUCCUUCGUGCUAAGGAUUCAGCCUUGUAAUUAUUCCCCAUGACCGAGGAAUUCCCAGUAAAGGUGAGUCAUAAGCUCGAGUAGAUUACUUUCCUGCCCUUUUUUUUAUACCGCCCAUCGCUACUACCGAUUGAAUGAUUUAGUGAGGUUUUCUGACUGUUGCGCUGUCAAUGGCGGGGAGGAAGACAAAGCUUGAUCUUUUCGAGCAAGUAAAAGUCAUCUCUAUGUGA
rnacentral:rRNA from 1 species